rnacentral:ncRNA from 2 species
UCACGCGCGGCUGGAGAGUCCCGGACACCACUCGGGCACCGAAGGGGCAAGCACCCGCAAUCUCUCAGGUACCAGGAACAGCCGCGUGAGG